rnacentral:SRP_RNA from 1 species
GCCAGGCGUGGUGGUGCGUGCCUACAGUCCCAGCUACUCAGGAGGCUGAGGUGGAAGGAUCGCUUGACCCCAGAAGUUCUGGGCUGUAGUGUGCUAUGCCAAUCGGGUAUCUGCACUAAGUUCGGCAUUAAUAUGGUGACCUCCUGGAGCCGGGGACCACCAGGUUGCCUAAGGAGGGGCGAACUGGCCCAGGUUGGAAAUGGAGAAGGUCAAAACUCCCAUGCUGAUCAGUAGUGGGAUUGUGCCUGUGAAUAGCCACUGCACUCCAGCCUGGACAACAUAGUGAGGCCCCCUUUCU